GGGCCCGCACAAGCAGCGGAGCAUGUGGCUUAAUUCGAAGCAACGCGAAGAACCUUACCAGGGCUUGACAUUUAGGUGAAGCGGCGGAAACGUCGUGGCCGAAAGGAGCCUAAACAGGUGGUGCAUGGCUGUCGUCAGCUCGUGUCGUGAGAUGUUGGGUUAAGUCCCGCAACGAGCGCAACCCUCGUUAUAUGUUGCCAGCGGUUCGGCCGGGCACUCAUAUGAGACCGCCGGCGUCAAGCCGGAGGAAGGUGGGGACGACGUCAAGUCAUCAUGCCCCUUAUGUCCUGGGCUGCACACGUGCUACAAUGACCGGCACAACGGGCUGCGAACUCGCGAGAGUAAGCGAAUCCCUCAAAGCCGGCCCCAGUUCGGACUGGAGGCUGCAACCCGCCUCCACGAAGUCGGAGUUGCUAGUAAUCGCGGAUCAGCACGCCGCGGUGAAUGCGUUCCCGGGCCUU
rnacentral:rRNA from 1 species